UGGGGAAUAUUGCACAAUGGGCGAAAGCCUGAUGCAGCGACGCCGCGUGAGGGAUGACGGCCUUCGGGUUGUAAACCUCUUUCAGCAGGGAAGAAGCGAAAGUGACGGUACCUGCAGAAGAAGCGCCGGCUAACUACGUGCCAGCAGCCGCGGUAAUACGUAGGGCGCAAGCGUUGUCCGGAAUUAUUGGGCGUAAAGAGCUCGUAGGCGGUUAGUCGCGUCUGCUGCGAAAACUCGAGGCUCAACCUCGGGCUUGCAGUGGGUACGGGCUGACUAGAGUGCGGUAGGGGUGACUGGAAUUCCUGGUGUAGCGGUGGAAUGCGCAGAUAUCAGGAGGAACACCGAUGGCGAAGGCAGGUCACUGGGCCGCAACUGACGCUGAGGAGCGAAAGCAUGGGGAGCGAACAGGAUUAGAUACCCUGGUAGUCCAUGCCGUAAACGUUGGGCACUAGGUGUGGGGUCCAUUUCCACGGAUUCCGUGCCGCAGCAAACGCAUUAAGUGCCCCGCCUGGGGAGUACGGCCGCAAGGCUAAAACUUAAAGGAAUUGAC
rnacentral:rRNA from 1 species